rnacentral:rRNA from 1 species
AUUGAACGCUGGCGGCAGGCCUAACACAUGCAAGUCGAGCGAACCUAGCUUGCUAGGUGAGCGGCGAACGGGUGAGUAACGCGUAGGAAUCUGCCUGGUAGUGGGGGACAACGUUCCGAAAGGAACGCUAAUACCGCAUACGCCCUACGGGGGAAAGUGGGGGAUCUUCGGACCUCACGCUAUCAGAGGAGCCUGCGUCGGAUUAGCUAGUUGGUGGGGUAAAGGCUCACCAAGGCGACGAUCCGUAGCUGGUCUGAGAGGAUGAUCAGCCACACCGGAACUGAGACACGGUCCGGACUCCUACGGGAGGCAGCAGUGGGGGAAUAUUGGACAAUGGGGGGCAACCCUGAUCCAGCCAUGCCGCGUGUGUGAAGAAGGCCUCGGGUUGUAAAGCACUUCAGUGAGGAGGAAGGGGCGAGAUGCUAAUAUCAUCUGUCAUUGACGUUACUCACAGAAGAAGACACCGGCUAACUACUGUGCCAGCAGCCGCGGUAAU